AUUUGACACAAUCUGACAGACACACAAUCACUCAGACACACAUUGACAGAAGCACUGACACGCACACUCAUACACACACAUUCACUGACAGACACAUACAUACUCACUCAGACACACACUGACAGACAUACACAAACUCACUCACAGACACACACCCAUCCACCCACAUUCAAUGACCAGCACACACAUUCACUCACUCACUCACAAACAUACUGACAGACACACAAACUCACUGACAGACACACACACACACACACAUAUUCACUGGCAAACACACACAUAUUUUCCCACAACACUCACAAAUUAUUGCUAUUUUUCUAAAUUUAAAUCUAC